UGGAUUCAAAUUUCAUAAAAAUAGUAUAAAUCUGCAAGUUCUAAGAAGGUAAAUAUUUUGACAGAAUGGGAAUCGCUAGAUCUCUCUCACUGGCUGAGGGCGUCCGAAUGCAUGGAAUUGUGUGUUUUGGAGUUUUAAGACUUAGGGUUUCAGGUCAGAGUAUGACGGAAUUAGUUCGUGAAGCAUGUGAAGACGUACCUGUGCUCUGUUUGACUUAGAAUCUAAUUUUUGCAUCCAACAGCAUCAUGAAGUUUCGUAUCCUGAACAUCACCACAGCUUGCCUUACGAUUCGGUUGGUCCCAUUUUGCUGGGAAAGAGCAUAGGCACGAGCAGCAUGUUUGAGGAAAGUAUGUAAACCAAGGAACCCAACAGAAAUGGAUUCGCUCGGAGUUGGAAAUUGUUCAGGCUUUGGGAAACCGUAAGGAUUAGACAAUUCUUGUAUUGAAAAGUGGAUCUAAGAAAAGAUGAUGUGUCAAGCAAGGUAGGCAGUAAAACAUAUGGUCAUCAGAGCAGUGGAGGUGAAUGGUAGGGAGCAAGUAAUCAAGCUGCAUGUUCGCGAAACUUAAGUCCUAGCCCUAAUCCUUGAUACCAUCUCCGUUGGGGGUUUGGUCAUUUCCAAUGUGCAGAACUCCAUCACGUCGUACUCGAACAUGACCUUCUACAGGUAGCCCACCGCAUGUUUAUCGUGCUACGUGUGCCGAUACAGGAUCUGGUUAAUGUUCUCGUCUUAUGGCAACUCUAAUGACACACUCGUUCACAUAUUCACAACAGUCUUUAUCUUCAAGUGCCUAAUUACACCGUUGAUUCACUUUACAAACGUGCUAAUACUGUUGCUUCAGCAACGUAUGUCAAGCAAGGAGAUUUUUGUGCUGCGGAUACCUUCAUCACUUAUCGUGUUGGAGGAUAUAACUUCGCCGGAUGCUUUACAUGUGUUUCCCUGCGGAGGCCCACCACGAAAGCCUUAUCUAGCCAUCGCAGAUCUUUGUCCAUGUUGACGUCGGUUCGAGGAAUGGCUUUGAAUUGGGUGCAAAUCUAUCCUACCCAUCGCCUCCUUGGGUACAGUCUCUCUUUCUCUCGCUCUCUCGCUCUCCUCUAUACAUUAGCGUGUAGGACUCGACAGAUACACUCACAUAGUUUACAGAUCAACUAAACUGGAGAGGGUGUGUACCUAGUGAGUGAAGCAGUGACUGAAGUUCAUGGUGGGAUGGUACCUCAACGCUGAUCGUCUGCUCAAACCAAGCAUUGAAGAAUCCUCAGCAAACAGAGGUAAACUAAUUACAUGCUCGACCAUUUGUGCUUACCUAGUAGUCACUGACUACUGGGCGAAGUGUCUCAGAUUAGGAUUUUAUUGCUCCAUCCAAAGAUGUUGGCAAGGGUCCAUCUCACCAGGCUGUUAUAGGUGGAAACUGAGGCGUACAGUGAGCAAAUUGCCAGACGUAGUUUGAUGCAGCAAUAUGUCUGCCAUGAUUCGUGAUUUUUGUUGUUCUGUGCUUGAAUUUCCAUCAAAAGUGGGGACAUGAAAAGUCGCUUCCUAGUCCUUUUGCAUUUGGUGAUAGGUAUUUUAGUUUUAAUCCUAUAAAAAAUAGUUAUAGGAUUAAAAAAUAGUUGUCUACUUUCUCUCUUUUGGUGAUAUAAGAGUAUAUUGUCAUUUUUAGAAUUUUAUAGUAAUUCAUAUCUUUAAUACUUGUA